UGAACUCCUGAGUUCAAACGAUCCACCUUCCUGGGCCUCCCAAAGUGCUAAGAUUACAGGCCUGAGCCACCGCCCCCUGCCCAGUUGAGGUUGUCUGGGCACACAGCCUUAGCCAUUUGGUGACAGAUGACCUGCGCUGGCUUUAUUGAGUCGCUGUCUGGCUGCAGAGCUGCAGGACCUGGGUGGGGCAAAUUCCUACCCACUGACCAACCUGAGCAUCUACGCUGAAAGCUCAGCUCCAACCUCCCUACUAGCUGUGCAGCCUUCCGGGAAGCCAGUGACCAUGUUGUGAGGAUGCUCAAGCAGUCUUUUGUAGGGGCCCACGUGGCAAAAAACUGAGCCCUCCCACCAACAGCCAUGUGAGAGAAGUGGGCUGGCAGCAGCUCGUCCAGCCCCAAGCGAACCUUCAGAUGAUGCAGCCCCAGAGCGUCUCCACUGAGGCCUUACCAGAGGCCAGACCCAGAGCCAGCCAGCUAAGCCAGGCCCAGAGCAACUGUGUGCGACACUGUUUACUGUUGUUGAAGGUGAGGAAACUGAGGCACAGUUUGGGACUGUGCUUGGGAACUUGCUUGGGAGCAGCGUGAAGAGUUAGGAAUCCAGGAAGUCUGGCUCCAGAGUCGGGCUCUAAACCACCAACGCUUUGUUGAAUGACUUAGGAUAAAAGAACACAGCCAAGGGGAGAAGGGACCCCUCUCUUUCCAGAUCGGCUGAGAACCUGGCGGAUGCUUCAUCUCAAGACAGGCUGGCUAUGGCAUGCUGGCAGCCCUCUCUGGUGAACAGUGGCGUCAGCAAGGCUGCCUGGGCUUGACGAGGGCAGUGUAGCCACCUAAGCACAGGUGACCAUCAAAGGAGAGUGACACCUUUAAAGAGGGGUCAUCAGAAACCAGAGGGCAGGCCUGUGCGAGCUGGCAGGGCACUGGGGACCAUUGAGACCCAACCGUACGACAUAGGAGCUUCAGGACGUGAGGUGGGCACUCUUUCAUGUAAAAAAUCCCAGAGGAAAGAGAUCGCCGGGACUCGAGACCCCUUAACCCGCCCCAUCCACAGUCAACGAAUCCCUGAGACCGGAUUCCCUAACGAGGCGCUCCCGGUGCCACCGCCCGCCAGACCCGGGCCCCACACCGUGAUCGCCGCCUCCGGGACGCCUCACCGAGCUCUGGAGACUCAGGACCCGUCGGCCCGGCCAGUAACCGCAGGCGCCUCUGCCACCACCGCUUCACCUGCCGCGACGCCCGCAGUGCGGUCUGGGGGCCGCCAUUUUCUCGCCCACGUGACCGUGCCGGACGGCACCAACGCAGCCGCGGGUGAGACCUAGUGAGAGGCUCCGUGCAUGAGGGAGGCCCGGAAGGCUGAGUCGGUGCUGGUGCCACAGCUCAUGCAAACGCAGGAACAGUAUUCCUAGUGCGUUCUUCGGGGAAGGGGACGGGCAACGUAUGCCCUUUCAUGGGAAAAAAUUCUCUCCAACCUCCCCACUGCGGUACAAGAAGUGAGACUGGUUUGUGCCGAUUCAGCGCCCUGCCUGGGCUGGCUAGCAACGGAGCAUGCGCAGUGUUUCUAGGCGUGGUCAGACUCCAGAGGUGUUGGCCAAUGGGCUCAGGGAGCUCGAACCUUAAGUAGGUGAGGAAUAAAAAAAGGAAGAAA